GAGCUGGCUUUGGCAGCACAUAUACUAAAAUUGGAAUAAUAUGGGGACGAUUAGCAUGGCUUCUGAGCAAGGAUGACAUGCAAAUUCCUGAAACGCUCCAAAUUAAA